rnacentral:rRNA from 1 species
AGUGAACGCUGGCGGUAGGCCUAACACAUGCAAGUCGAACGGCAGCACAGUAAGAGCUUGCUCUUACGGGUGGCGAGUGGCGGACGGGUGAGGAAUACAUCGGAAUCUACUUUUUCGUGGGGGAUAACGUAGGGAAACUUACGCUAAUACCGCAUACGACCUACGGGUGAAAGCAGGGGAUCUUCGGACCUUGCGCGAUUGAAUGAGCCGAUGUCGGAUUAGCUAGUUGGCGGGGUAAAGGCCCACCAAGGCGACGAUCCGUAGCUGGUCUGAGAGGAUGACUAGCCACACUGGAACGGAGACACGGACCAGACUACUACGGGAGGCAGCAGGGGGGAAUAUUGGACAAUGGGCGCAAGCCUGAUCCAGGCAUACCACGUGGGUGCAGAAGGCCUUCGGGUUGUAAAGACCUUUUGUUGGGAAAGAAAAGCAGCAGGUUAAUACCCCGCUGUUCUGACGGUACCCAAAGAAUAAGCACCGGCUAACUUCGUG